rnacentral:rRNA from 1 species
GAUGAACGCUGGCGGCGUGCCUAAUACAUGCAAGUCGAGCGAACGGACGCUAACCUUGCUUCUCGGGUGUUAACGGCGGACGGGUGAGUAACACGUGGAGAACCUACCUAUAAGACUGGGAUAACUUCGUGAAACCGGUGCUAAUACCGGAUGCUAUUUUGAACCGCAUGGUUCAAAAGUGAAAGACGGUCUUGCUGUCACUUCUAGAUGUAUCCGCGCUGCAUUAGCUAGUUGGUAAGGUAACGGCUUACCAAGGCGACGAUGCGUAGACGACCUGGGAGAGUGAUAGGCCACACUGGAACUGAGACACGGUCCAGACUCCUACGGGAGGCAGCAGUAGGGAAUGGUCCGCAAUAGGCGAAAGUCUGACGGAGCAACGCCGCGUGAGUGAUGACGGUCCUCGGAUCGUAAAACUCUGUUAUUAGGGAAGAACAUAUGUGUAAGUAACUGUGCACAUCUUGACGGUACCUACACAGAAAGCCACGGCUAACUACGUG